GAUGAACGCUGGCGGCGUGCUUAACACAUGCAAGUCGAACGAAGCAUUUGCGACAGAUUUUUUCGGAAUGAAGUUGCUUAUGACUGAGUGGCGGACGGGUGAGUAACGCGUGGGUAACCUGCCUUGUACUGGGGGAUAGCAGCUGGAAACGGCUGGUAAUACCGCAUAGGCGCACAAUGUUGCAUGACAUGGUGUGAAAAACUCCGGUGGUAUAAGAUGGACCCGCGUCUGAUUAGCUAGUUGGUGAGAUAACAGCCCACCAAGGCGACGAUCAGUAGCCGACCUGAGAGGGUGACCGGCCACAUUGGGACUGAGACACGGCCCAGACUCCUACGGGAGGCAGCAGUGGGGAAUAUUGCACAAUGGAGGAAACUCUGAUGCAGCGACGCCGCGUGAGUGGAGAAGUAAUUCGUUAUGUAAAGCUCUAUCAGCAGGGAAGAUAGUGACGGUACCUGACGAAGAAGCUCCGGCUAAAUACGUG
rnacentral:rRNA from 1 species